rnacentral:rRNA from 1 species
GACGAACGCUGGCGGCGUGCUUAACACAUGCAAGUCGAACGGUAAGGCUCCAGCUUGCUGGGGUACACGAGUGGCGAACGGGUGAGUAACACGUGGGUGACCUGCCCUGCACUUCGGGAUAAGCCUGGGAAACUGGGUCUAAUACCGGAUAGGACCAUGGUGUGGAUACUGUGGUGGAAAGUUUUUUCGGUGUGGGAUGGGCCCGCGGCCUAUCAGCUUGUUGGUGGGGUAAUGGCCUACCAAGGCGGCGACGGGUAGCCGGCCUGAGAGGGUGGACGGCCCAAUGGGGACGGGGCACCGGCCCGACCCCCUAGGGGGGGAAGGAGGGGGGAAUUUUGCAAAAGGGGGGGAGGCCGGAACGAGGGGCCCCGGGGGGGGGAAGACGGCCUUGGGGUGGAAACCUCCUUUCCCCCGCGAGGAGGGGUUUGUGACGGUAGUGGGAAAAAAAGCACCGGCUAACAACGU